GCAAGCCUGAUCCAGCCAUACCGCGUGGGUGAAGAAGGCCUUCGGGUUGUAAAGCCCUUUUGUUGGGAAAGAAAUCCAGCUGGUUAAUACCCGGUUGGGAUGACGGUACCCAAAGAAUAAGCACCGGCUAACUUCGUGCCAGCAGCCGCGGUAAUACGAAGGGUGCAAGCGUUACUCGGAAUUACUGGGCGUAAAGCGUGCGUAGGUGGUCGUUUAAGUCCGUUGUGAAAGCCCUGGGCUCAACCUGGGAACUGCAGUGGAUACUGGGCGACUAGAGUGUGGUAGAGGGUAGCGGAAUUCCUGGUGUAGCAGUGAAAUGCGUAGAGAUCAGGAGGAACAUCCAUGGCGAAGGCAGCUACCUGGACCAACACUGACACUGAGGCACGAAAGCGUGGGGAGCAAACAGGAUUAGAUACCCUGGUAGUCCACGCCCUAAACGAUGCGAACUGGAUGUUGGGUGCAAUUUGGCACGCAGUAUCGAAGCUAACGCGUUAAGUUCGCCGCCUGGGGAGUACGGUCGCAAGACUGAAACUCAAGG
rnacentral:rRNA from 1 species